UGUGUGUUUAUCCGGCUGAGGACCGAAGACUCGAGAAUGAACAUACUUUAUCCAAGAAGGUCAUGACUUCAGGUCAAGGAAGGAAAUGGAACCCACCUUUCAAAAUCUGAUGACACUUAAGUAUGGGAUUGCUGUCCUGGGACCUGUUUGUGCUUCCUGUUUCAUUUCCCUAAUUAGAGCUGUUGGAGGCGAGGGGUGAGUAAAGAGAGAGAGUUUAUAUCAUUUUCUCCUCUUUAAACUCACACCCUAGAUUUUUUAUAAGGUUCUUCUGUGGGUUCUGAGCACAAAGGUUUGCACCUGCUCAAAUUCGAUCUGGAAAUCAAGACAGAGGAACAUCUUUCAGAAGUGACGUUUGAAGCUAAGCUGGGUUCCUUCAUUCCCCAACUGUGUAGGGGAUGGUAUCAAAUAACCCAGGCACAAAUACCCUGCCUAGUCUAGCUGUCUGCCCCUCAUGCUUGGAAUUUUCUCAAUCUUUGAGUUUGUAUCUCUUCUUGGCUCUCCCAGCUUAACAGAAAUUCAUUCAAACUCUAUCUCAGACCUGCCUGUCUCUCCCUAACUCUCAAGGGCUGAUUGCCAGGGACUUUCCCCCACUAACCCCACACAUUUUUCAAGCCAAUAGCAUAAUUCUUGACAUACUCCUCCCCCAUAGAAGUAUGUUUAUAAUGACUGUACACAUUUACAUGCAAUGUUUAAAACUUGGAAAAAGAACAUAGCACAGACAUAACCCAUGGUCUCAAAUUUCAAGCCUGGGGGGUGGGGUGAAGCCUUACAAAUCACCCUAGCUCAUGC